rnacentral:rRNA from 1 species
UACGGAGGGGGCGAGCGUUGUCCGAAUUUAUUGGGCGUAAAGCGCGUGUAGGCGGAUCGUCAAGCCUGGGGUGAAAGGUCGGGGCUCAACCCCGCACAGUGCCCUGGGGACUGGCGGUCUGGAGGCAGGCAGAGGAGCGUAGAAUUCCUGGUGUAGCGGUGGAAUGCGUAGAGAUCAGGAAGAAUACCCGUGGCGAAGGCGGCGCUCUGGGCCUGUACUGACGCUGAGACGCGAAAGCGUGGGGAGCGAACGGGAUUAGAUACCCCGGUAGUCCACGCCGUAAACGAUGGAUGCUCGGUGUCGGGGGUAUCGACCCCCUCGGCGCCUUAGGUAACCCGGUAAGCAUCCCGCCUGGGGAGUACGGCCGCAAGGUUGAA